UACAGAGGGGGCAAGCGUUGUUCGGAAUUACUGGGCGUAAAGGGCGCGUAGGCGGCGUGCUAAGUCGAACGUGAAAUCCCCGGGCUCAACCCGGGAACUGCGUCCGAGACUGGCAUGCUUGAAUCCGGGAGAGGGAUGUGGAAUUCCAGGUGUAGCGGUGAAAUGCGUAGAUAUCUGGAGGAACACCGGUGGCGAAGGCGGCAUCCUGGACCGAGAUUGACGCUGAUGCGCGAAAGCCAGGGGAGCAAACGGG
rnacentral:rRNA from 1 species